rnacentral:rRNA from 1 species
GAUGAACGCUGGCGGCGUGCCUAAUACAUGCAAGUCGAGCGAACAGACGAGGAGCUUGCUCCUCUGACGUUAGCGGCGGACGGGUGAGUAACACGUGGUUAACCUACCUAUAAGACUGGGAUAACUUCGGGAAACCGGAGCUAAUACCGGAUAAUAUAUUGAACCGCAUGGUUCAAUAGUGAAAGACGGUUUUGCUGUCACUUAUAGAUGGAUCCGCGCCGCAUUAGCUAGUUGGUAAGGUAACGGCUUACCAAGGCAACGAUGCGUAGCCGACCUGAGAGGGUGAUCGGCCACACUGGAACUGAGACACGGUCCAGACUCCUACGGGAGGCAGCAGUAGGGAAUCUUCCGCAAUGGACGAAAGCCUGACGGAGCAACGCCGCGUGAGUGAUGAAGGUCUUCGGAUCGUAAAACUCUGUUAUUAGGGAAGAACAAAUGUGUAAGUAACUAUGCACGUCUUGACGGUACCUAAUCAGAAAGCCACGGCUAACUACGUG